GACAUAGGUGACGAACGUUAUCCGGAAUUAUUGGGCGUAAAGGAUGCGUAGAUGGUUCGAUAAGUCAUUGGUGGGAAAUCGAGGCCCAACCUCGUGGAAGCUGGUAAUACUGUCGAGCUUGAGUGCAGGAGAGGUUAACGGAACUUUAUGUGGAGCGGUAAAAUGCGUAGAUAUAUGAAAGAACACCGAUAUAGCGAAGGCAGUUAACUAUUCUGCUACUGACAUUGAGGCAUGAAAGCGUGGGGAGCAAAACGG
rnacentral:rRNA from 1 species